rfam:Nomascus leucogenys chromosome 24, whole genome shotgun sequence.
UCUUGGAGAAUGAAAGUAGUCCCAGGUACUGAGGAGGCUGAGGCAGGAGGAUUGCUUGAGUUCAGGAGUUCUGAGCUAUACUGCACUAUUCUGAUUGGGUGUCUGCACUAAGUUUGGCAUCAAUAUUGUAAUCUCCUGGGAGCGAGGGGCCGCCAGUUUGCCUAAGGAGGGGUGAGCCAGCCCAAGUCAGAAAUGGAGCAGGUCAAAACUCCUGUGAUGAUCAAUACUGAGAUAGCACCUGUGAAUAGCCACUGCAUUUGAGCCUGGGCAACAUAGUAAGACCCUGGUGCUU